AGAGAGAGAGAGAACUUCCGUAUGCUGGUUCACUCCCAAAAUGGCCACACGGCCUGGGCUGGGCCAGGCUGAAGCCAUCUGGGUCUCCCACAUGGGUGCAGGGGCCCAAGCACUUGGCCAUCUUCUGCUGCUUUCCCAGGCACAUCAGCAGGGAGCUGGAUCAGAAGUGGAGCAACCAGGACUUGAACCGGCACCCAUAUGGCAUGCUGGCGCUGCGGACGGCAGCUUAGCCUGCUGCACCACGGCACCGGCCCCACGGCUCCCUUUGCUCCCAGCCCUUCCCCAGGCCCCCAAGGCCUGUGACCCCUGCUCCUGGUUUGCCCAGAAGGUUCUGAUGUAGCCGUGGGAGUCUUGGCCUGGGGCCUCCUCAGUCCAACAGCACUGUGAGCUUCUUUCUGAAGAUGUUUCCAGAAACAUCUCAGCAUUUCAAAGACUCAUCACAGCCAACUUUAGUCCCAAAGAAUGUAGAGCGUCUUCCUGCCUGAGGCCCGUGCUCGCGCUGACGGAUGUGGAACCAGGCGUCCCGUGGCUGCACCUGCUCCGAGCUGGAAGGUGAGCCAGACCACGUGACCUGGGACGACCAGGUCAGCUCUCACCUCCCACAAGUGUCCCAGGCAGGACGCUGCUCCCUGGGUACAGGCAGCUAAUUCCUGCCACCUCGGCGCUCCGGCUCCACCGUGCUAAUAUCGGAUUAAUAAUUAACAUUUGCCGAACUGGUAACCGUUUCUUAGAUACUGCACUGAGUGUGCUGCAAGAAUUAAACUCCUUGCGUCCCUGA